rnacentral:rRNA from 1 species
AGAACGAACGCUGGCGGCAGGCUUAACACAUGCAAGUCGAACGCUCGUAGCAAUACGGGAGUGGCAGACGGGUGAGUAACGCGUGGGAACGUACCUUUUGGUUCGGAACAACCCAGGGAAACUUGGGCUAAUACCGGAUAAGCCCUUACGGGGAAAGAUUUAUCGCCGAAAGAUCGGCCCGCGUCUGAUUAGCUAGUUGGUGAGGUAAUGGCUCACCAAGGCGACGAUCAGUAGCUGGUCUGAGAGGAUGAUCAGCCACAUUGGGACUGAGACACGGCCCAAACUCCUACGGGAGGCAGCAGUGGGGAAUAUUGGACAAUGGGCGCAAGCCUGAUCCAGCCAUGCCGCGUGAGUGAUGAAGGCCCUAGGGUUGUAAAGCUCUUUUGUGCGGGAAGAUAAUGACGGUACCGCAAGAAUAAGCCCCGGCUAACUUCGUGCCAGCAGCCGC